rnacentral:rRNA from 1 species
UACAGAGGGGGCAAGCGUUGUUCGGAAUUACUGGGCGUAAAGGGCGCGUAGGCGGCCUUCUAAGUCGAACGUGAAAUCCCUGGGCUCAACCCAGGAACUGCGUCCGAUACUGGAAGGCUUGAAUCCGGGAGAGGGAUGCGGAAUUCCAGGUGUAGCGGUGAAAUGCGUAGAUAUCUGGAGGAACACCGGUGGUGAAGGCGGCCACCUGGGCUGGACCUGACACUGAGGUGCGAAAGCGUGGGGAGCGAACCGG